GGCAGCUGAGCAGAGGCGGCGGCGCGGGACCUGCAAUCGCCAGGGAUUCCCUCCAGGUGACGAUGCUCUGGUUCUCCGGCGUCGGGGCUCUGGCUGAGCGUUACUGCCGCCGCUCGCCUGGGAUUACGUGCUGCGUCUUGCUGCUACUCAAUUGCUCGGGGGUCCCCAUGUCUCUGGCUUCCUCCUUCUUGACAGGUUCUGUUGCAAAAUGUGAAAAUGAAGGUGAAGUCCUCCAGAUUCCAUUUAUCACAGACAACCCUUGCAUAAUGUGUGUCUGCUUGAACAAGGAAGUGACAUGUAAGAGAGAGAAGUGCCCCGUGCUGUCCCGAGACUGUGCCCUGGCCGUCAAGCAGAGGGGAGCCUGUUGUGAACAGUGCAAAGGUG
rnacentral:lncRNA from 1 species